UACGUAGGGCGCAAGCGUUGUCCGGAAUUAUUGGGCGUAAAGGGCUCGUAGGCGGUCUGUCACGUCGGGAGUGAAAACACGGGGCUUAACCCCGUGCCUGCUUCCGAUACGGGCAGACUAGAGGUAUGCAGGGGAGAACGGAAUUCCUGGUGUAGCGGUGAAAUGCGCAGAUAUCAGGAGGAACACCGGUGGCGAAGGCGGUUCUCUGGGCAUUACCUGACGCUGAGGAGCGAAAGUGUGGGGAGCGAACAGG
rnacentral:rRNA from 1 species